rnacentral:rRNA from 1 species
CCGAAAGGGAGAUUAAUACCGCAUAACAUUAUUUUAUGGCAUCAUAGAAUAAUCAAAGGAGCAAUCCGCUUUGAGAUGGCCCCGCGGCGCAUUAGCUAGUUGGUGAGGUAAGGGCUCACCAAGGCGACGAUGCGUAGCCGACCUGAGAGGGUGAUCGGCCACAUUGGAACUGAGACACGGUCCAGACUCCUACGGGAGGCAGCAGUGGGGAAUAUUGCGCAAUGGGGGAAACCCUGACGCAGCAACGCCGCGUGAGUGAUGAAGGUUUUCGGAUCGUAAAACUCUGUCUUUAGGGACGAUAAUGACGGUACCUAAGGAGGAAGCCACGGCUAACUACGUGCCAGCAGCCGCGGUAAUACGUAGGUGGCAAGCGUUGUCCGGAUUUACUGGGCGUAAAGAGUAUGUAGGUGGGUGCUUAAGUCAGAUGUGAAAUUCCCGGGCUUAACCUGGGCGCUGCAUUUGAAACUGGGCAUCUAGAGUGCAGGAGAGGAAAGUGGAAUUCCUAGUGUAGCGGUGAAAUGCGUAGAGAUUAGGAAGAACACCAGUGGC